CUACGGGCGGCACCAGUGGGGAAUAUUGGACAAUGGGGGAAACCCUGAUCCAGCAAUGCCGCGUGUGUGAAGAAGGCCUGCGGGUUGUAAAGCACUUUCGGUUGGGAGGACUGCUUCUAGCACUAAUAUUGUUGGAAGUUGACGUUACCUUCAGAAGAAGCACCAGCUAACUCCGUGCCAGCAGCCGCGGUAAUACGGAGGGGGCAAGCGUUAAUCGGAAUUACUGGGCGUAAAGCGCGCGUAGGCGGCUAGAUCAGUCGGGUGUGAAAGCCCCGGGCUUAACCUGGGAACUGCAUCCGAUACUGUCUAGCUUGAGUACAGGAGAGGAGAGUGGAAUUCCACAUGUAGCGGUGAAAUGCGUAGAUAUGUGGAGGAACACCAAUGGCGAAGGCAGCUCUCUGGCCUGAUACUGACGCUGAGGUGCGAAAGCGUGGGGAGCAAACAGGAUUAGAUACCCUUGUAGUC
rnacentral:rRNA from 1 species